rnacentral:miRNA from 1 species
GUGUGUGUGUGUGUGUGUGUGUGUGUGUGUGUGUACAUGUGUGUGUCCUUGUGUGUGUGCAUGUGUGUGUGUGCAUGUGUGUGUGCAUGUGUGUGUGUGUAAGUGUGUUGUUCUUG